rnacentral:rRNA from 1 species
AUUGAACGCUGGCGGCGGGCCUAACACAUGCAAGUCGAACGAGUGGCGGACGGGUGAGUAACGUAUGGGAAUCUGCCUGAUGGAGGGGGAUAACUCAUGGGAACGGUAGAUAAUACCGCAUACCAUCAGAUGAACACGUAUGGGAUUAGCUUGUAGGUAAGGUAACGGCUGACCGAGGCGACGAUCCCUAGCUGGUCUGAGAGGAUGAUCAGCCACACUGGGACUGAGACACGGCCCAGACUCCUACGGGAGGCAGCAGUGGGGAAUAUUGCACAAUGGGCGCAAGCCUGAUGCAGCCAUGCCGCGUGUAUGAAGAAGGCCUUCGGGUUGUAAAGUACUUUCAGUCGGGAGGCGGUACCGACAGAAGAAGCACCGGCUAACUCCGUGCCAGCAGCCGCGGUAAUUC